UACGUAGGUGGCAAGCGUUAUCCGGAAUUAUUGGGCGUAAAGCGCGCGUAGGCGGUUUCUUAAGUCUGAUGUGAAAGCCCACGGCUCAACCGUGGAGGGUCAUUGGAAACUGGGAAACUUGAGUGCAGAAGAGGAAAGUGGAAUUCCACGUGUAGCGGUGAAAUGCGUAGAGAUGUGGAGGAACACCAGUGGCGAAGGCGGCUCUCUGGUCUGUAACUGACGCUGAGGCGCGAAAGCGUGGGGAGCAAACAGG
rnacentral:rRNA from 1 species